ACUCCUACGGGAGGCAGCAGUGGGGAAUAUUGCACAAUGGGGGAAACCCUGAUGCAGCAACGCCGCGUGAAGGAUGAAGGUUUUCGGAUUGUAAACUUCUUUAGUCAGGGACGAAUAAAUGACGGUACCUGAAGAAUAAGCCACGGCUAACUACGUGCCAGCAGCCGCGGUAAUAC
rnacentral:rRNA from 1 species